AGUGAACGCUGGCGGCAGGCCUAACACAUGCAAGUCGAACGGCAGCACAAGAGAGCUUGCUCUCUGGGUGGCGAGUGGCGGACGGGUGAGGAAUGCAUCGGAAUCUGCCCAUUUGUGGGGGAUAACCUCGGGAAACCGGGACUAAUACCGCAUACGACCUACGGGUGAAAGCAGGGGAUCUUCGGACCUUGCGCAGAUGGAUGAGCCGAUGCCGGAUUAGCUAGUUGGAGGGGUAAAGGCCCACCAAGGCGACGAUCCGUAGCUGGUCUGAGAGGAUGAUCAGCCACACUGGGACUGAGCCACGGCCCAGACUCCUACGGGAGGCAGCAGUGGGGAAUAUUGGACAAUGGGCGCAAGCCUUAUCCAGCCAUGCCGCGUGUGUGAAGAAGGCCUUCGGGUUGUAAAGCACUUUUGUUGGGAAAGAAAAGCAGCCGGUUAAUACCCGGUUGUCAUGACGGUACCCAAAGAAUAAGCACCGGCUAACUUCGUG
rnacentral:rRNA from 1 species